CACUCAUGUGGAAUCCCAAGAUGGAGCCAGUGAAGACGCUGUGGACCGCCAAAGUGAUGACGUGGUUGUUGCCACAACACCCGAUCCCCACAACCACACCACAUCUGCCAAUACUGAAGCUGGUGGUGGUGCAAGUGAAGAUGCUGUGGCUACUACCCCAGCACCUAAUCCACACAACCAGACAACUUCUGAAGUUACUGGUAGGGUUUCUCUUUAGUUUUUGUGUGGUUCUCUGCAAGUUUGUUUUUUGUAUAAAAUGUGUAAGUGUGUCCUUUGGCUUCUCUUUGGCCCCCUCACUCAUGUGGAAUCCCAAGAUGGAGCCAGUGAAGAUGCUGUGGACCGCCAAAGUGAUGAUGUGGUUGUCGCCACAACACCCGAUCCCCACAACCAGACCACAUCUGCCCAUACUGAAGCUGGUGGUGGUGCAAGUGAAGAUGCUGUGGCUACUACCCCAGCACCUAAUCCACACAACCAGACAACUUCUGAAGUUACUGGUAGGGUUUCUCUUUAGUUUUUGUGUGGUUUUCUGCAAGUUUGGUUUUUGUAUAAAAUGUGUAAGUGUGUCCUUUGGCUUCUCUUUGGCCCCCUCACUCAUGUGGAAUCCCAAGAUGGAGCCAGUGAAGAUGCUGUGGACCGCCAAAGUGAUGAUGUGGUUGUCGCCACAACACCCGAUCCCCACAACCAGACCACAUCUGCCCAUACUGAAGCUGGUGGUGGUGCAAGUGAAGAUGCUGUGGCUACUACCCCAGCACCUAAUCCACACAACCAGACAACUUCUGAAGUUACUGAUGGAGCCAGUGAAGAUGCUGUGGACCGCCAAAGUGAUGAUGUGGUUGUCGCCACAACACCCGAUCCCCACAACCAGACCACAUCUGCCCAUACUGAAGCUGGUGAUGGAGCAAGUGAAGAUGCUGUGGCUACCACCCCAGCACCAAAUCCCCCAACUACAUCUGACCACACUGCAGCUACCGAUGAUGCAAGUGAGGGUGCUGUGGAUGCCCAAACUGGAACUACUGUAUCCCAUACGACUGAAGUCUGAUUCGACUGCUCCUCUGGUCACAAUGACCUGAGACACUGUCUGGACUUUUUGCCUCUACAUGUUGACUGCAAUAAAGGACAGAUUUGUUUUUUUAAUCA
rnacentral:lncRNA from 1 species